AAGCGGGCCGAUCGGGCGCCAUGGCACUGUGGUCUGUCAGUAGUGCACACUUAAACCCUACUUGAUCUAUGAUCAACCUUGUGAUUGGCCGGUCUAGCCAUUUCUUCAAGGCGUGCCACCUUAAGUGGCUGUGAACCAAAUGGUCCUUCACAUUGCACUCGGAGUUGAUCUGAGUUGCAUGAUGUGUAUCCACUGACGCUCGAGCUUGUAGAAACUGGUCGGCUUGCAUAUGAGUAAUUAUAUGGCUAACAGGAAUCAUGUCCAGGGUUCCUGCCAAGAUCACAAUUUUUCACAAAAUAUCACUUUGCUCAUCAAACAGGGCCAAGGAUUCUUGCAUCUGUCAAGUUGUAGCAAGAAUUGCCGAACUAAGUUCAAGCAUCCAGGGACAGCAUGCUUCCAGUAAUAUCCAAAUAGAUAAGACACUGAAACUAGUUCAGGGUGUCCUCAAAACUCUGUAGGCUCAGAGAGCACCAUCUGUAACUGUAAGCAAGGAAAGUGGUGAUCUAUUGCAGUUUGAGGUAAACCAAUUCCUACGGACACGGAAAGUUACGGUUUCCUUGCUUGCAUAUGAGGAAUUUUGUCUUGAAGUCCUGCCAAGAUUACAAUCAUUUUCAGAAGAUAUCACUUCUGGACAUCAUUUGGCUUGAAGUUGGGCAAGGUUUUUGCAUCUGUCAGGGCCUUGCCGCUCCAAGGAUGGAAGGGCGAAGCUAAGUUGAUUCGUCAGGGAAACUCGGAAAGGACACUAAUUUAGUUGUAGCCAUCCUAAAAAACUUGGAACUUUCUGUUGAACCACGGAAGGGCGUCUAUCGAUCUACUGCCAUCGGAGAUGAAUCUCAUCAUUUGAAUUUUCCUUUAGACCUCUAGUGUUAUUAGCUGGGAUAUUUGUUAGUAAACUGGGAAAUUUUAUGGUUGUGCACUGAUAUGUUUCCGAGUGUAUUUUGGCAAAUGGCAAUCGAUGUGGUUCAUGGACCAGUAUCCUGACUUUGGCCAAAUGAAGGCUGCA